CUUCAUCUGCGGAUACACUCCUUGAUGUAAGCACUCCAGAAACAGGUGUUGGAAGAGGAACUGCUGAUUUGGGACGUCUGUUCCAUAGUUUGACUGGACAUUCAUCUCCAUUAUUUGAUGAAGAAGAAAACUCAUCAAGGGAGAUCACUAUAAAUCUCGUACCAACAAGAGAGGAAAAUCCUAAUUCAGAGG